rnacentral:rRNA from 1 species
GCAUAUCAAUAAGCGGAGGAAAAGAAACCAACAGGGAUUGCCCUAGUAACGGCGAGUGAAGCGGCAACAGCUCAAAUUUGAAAUCUGGCUCUUUUAGAGUCCCAGUUGUAAUUUGCAGAGGGCGCUUUGGUGUUGGCAGCGGUCCAAGUUCCUUGGAACAGGACGUCACAGAGGGUGAGAAUCCCGUACGUGGUCGCUAGCCUCCGCCGUGUAAAGCCCCUUCGACGAGUCGAGUUGUUUGGGAAUGCAGCUCUAAAUGGGAGGUAAAUUUCUUCUAAAGCUAAAUACUGGCCAGAGACCGAUAGCGCACAAGUAGAGUGAUCGAAAGAUGAAAAGCACUUUGGAAAGAGAGUCAAAUAGCACGUGAAAUUGUUGAAAGGGAAGCGCUUGCAGCCAGACUUGCCUGUAGUUGCUCAUCCGGGCUUUUGCCCGGUGCACUCUUCUACAGGCAGGCCAGCAUCAGUUUGGGCGGUUGGAUAAAGGUCUCUGUCACGUUCCUCUCUUCGGGGAGGCCAUAUAGGGGAGACGACAUACAACCAGCCUGGACUGAGGUCCGCGCAUUUGCUAGGAUGCUGGCGUAAUGGCUGUAAGCGGCCCGUCUUGAAACACGGACCAAGGAGUCUAACAUCUAUGCGAGUGUUUGGGUGUCAAGCCCGAACGCGUAAUGAAAGUGAACGGAGGUGGGAACCCUUUAGGGUGCACCAUCGACCGAUCCUGAUGUCUUCGGAAGGAUUUGAGUAAGAGCAUGGCUGUUGGGACCCGAAAGAUGGUGAACUAUGCUUGAAUAGGGUGAAGCCAGAGGAAACUCUGGUGGAGGCUCGCAGCGGUUCUGACGUGCAAAUCGAUCGUCAAAUUUGGGCAUAGGGGCGAAAGACUAAUCGAACUAUCUAGUAGCUGGUUCCUGCCGAAG